rnacentral:rRNA from 1 species
AACCUGGUUGAUCCUGCCAGUAGUCAUAUGCUCGUUUCAAAGAUCUAGCCAUGCAUGUGUAAGUUCAGACAGAGUCUUUACUGUGAAACUGCGUACGGCUCAUUAUAUCAGUUAUCGUUUCUUCGGUAGUUUUUCUCUAGUUGGAUACUUGCAGUAAUUCUGGAAAAAAUACAUGCGCUAAGGGCCCGACUCUCGGGAAGGGCCGCAUUUAUUAGAUUGAAACCAACAUUUCUUGGUGAUUCAUAGUAACUGAGCAGAUCGCAGCGGCUUCGGCCGGCGAUGGAUCGUUUGAGUUUCUGCCCCAUCAGUUGUCGGUGGUAGGGUAUUGGCCUACCAUGACUUUAACGGGUGACGGAGAAUUAGGUUCGAUUCGGAGAGGGAGCUGAGAGACGCUACCACAUCCAGGAAGCAGCAGCGCGUAAAUUAUCCAAUGAGACUCCUCGAGAUAGUGACGAACAAUAGGAGUGAGGAGCGCUUCGCGUUUCUCUAUUCAAAUGAGUGCAAUGUAAAACCCUCAACGAGGAUCAACUGGAGGGCAAGUCUGGUGCCAGCAGCCGCGGUAAUUCCAGCUCCAGAAGCGUAUGCUAACGUUGUUGCAGUUGAAAAGCUCGUAGUCGAUGUUCUGGCAUGGGCGGACCGCGGCCUUGGGCGAAUGCCUUUGGUGUCUUUGCGUGUCUGCCUUGCCAUCCUCUCCAGGUUUCAAGGAAUUUGGAGUCGUUUACUGUAAACAAAAUAGAGUGUUCAAAGCAGGUCGUAGGACCGGGAUAUUUCUUAUGGGAUAAUGAGAUAGGACUGGCGUGCUAUUUUGUUGGUUUGCACACGCGAGUAAUGAUUAAUAGGAACAGUCGGGGGUAUUCGUAUUUAGCAGCUAGAGGUGAAAUUCUUGGAUUUGCGAAAGACGAACUACUGCGAAGGCAUUUACCAAGGAUGUUUUCAUUGAUCAAGAACGAAAGUUUGGGGAUCGAAGAUGAUUAGAUACCAUCGUAGUCUAAACCGUAACGAUGCCGACUUGCGAUUGCCCGACGUUGUUUACGACUUGGGCAGCAGCACAUGAGAAAUCAAAGUCCUUGGGUUCCGGGGGGAGUAUGGUCGCAAGGCUGAAACUUAAAGAAAUUGACGGAAGGGCACCACCAGGAGUGGAGCCUGCGGCUUAAUUUGACUCAACACGGG